rnacentral:lncRNA from 1 species
GGCCACCUGGAUGAUGGCUUAAACUUUUCUAGAUCUCAGCAUGAAGAAACAUGCACAGACCAAGUCAUCUGGAGCAAUGUCUCACUUUUCAGUAGAUUUAUAAGGAGCCUGGAUGCUCUCAGCAAGAAAGCGAAGACUCCUGAAACCAACCUGCCCAUAUAAUUGGAGAGCCUGAGUCUGCAGGAUAUCAACUGUUACUUCCACCCUCCUAAUGAGCACUUGGAGCAUGAGGACAAACUGAACAGGUUGCAUGCCCUGAAGAAUUGGCAGAACCUCUUCUGGGGAGAGGGGAGGAAAAGUCAAUGUUCUGAGGAUCCUUGGUACAUAACAU